GACUCACCUUCUUCUGCCCCCACGCCUGUCC
rnacentral:piRNA from 1 species